rnacentral:rRNA from 1 species
GAUGAACGCUGGCGGCGUGCCUAAUACAUGCAAGUCGAGCGAACGGACGAGAAGCUUGCUUCUCUGAUGUUAGCGGCGGACGGGUGAGUAACACGUGGAUAACCUACCUAUAAGACUGGGAUAAGUUCGGGAAACCGGAGCUAAUACCGGAUAAUAUUUUGAACCGCAUGGUUCAAAAGUAAAAGACGGUCUUGCUGUCACUUAUAGAUGGAUCCGCGCUGCAUUAGCUAGUUGGUAAGGUAACGGCUUACCAAGGCAACGAUGCAUAGCCGACCUGAGAGGGUGAUCGGCCACACUGGAACUGAGACACGGUCCAGACUCCUACGGGAGGCAGCAGUAGGGAAUCUUCCGCAAUGGGCGAAAGCCUGACGGAGCAACGCCGCGUGAGUGAUGAAGGUCUUCGGAUCGUAAAGCUCUGUUAGUAGGGAAGAACACAUGUGUAAGUAACUGUGCACAUCUUGACGGUACCUAAUCAGAAAGCCACGGCUAACUACGUG